GGUCGGGCGUGCGGCUAAUAAAACACCCGCAAGGGAAAUAUGCCCGCCGUCUAUCGCCGGUUUUGAGCGCCCGACCACCCUCUC
rnacentral:ncRNA from 17 species